AGAGUUUGAUCCUGGCUACAGAACGAACGCUGGCGGCAGGCUUAACACAUGCAAGUCGAGCGCCCGCAAGGGGAGCGGCAGACGGUGAGUAACGCGUGGGAACGUGCCCUUUGGUUCGGAACAACUCCGGGAAACUGGAGCUAAUACCGGAUAAGCCCUUCGGGGGAAAGAUUUAUCGCCAAAGGAUCGGCCGCGUCUGAUUAGCUAGUUGGUGAGGUAAUGGCUCACCAAGGCGACGAUCAGUAGCUGGUCUGAGAGGAUGAUCAGCCACACUGGGACUGAGACACGGCCCAGACUCCUACGGGAGGCAGCAGUGGGAAUAUUGGACAAUGGGCGCAAGCCUGAUCCAGCCAUGCCGCGUGAGUGAUGAAGGCCUUAGGGUUGUAAAGCUCUUUUGUCCGGGAAGAUAAUGACUGUACCGGAAGAAUAAGCCCCGGCUAACUUCGUG
rnacentral:rRNA from 1 species